rnacentral:rRNA from 1 species
GAUCCUGGCUCAGGACGAACGCUGGCGGCGUGCUUAACACAUGCAAGUCGAACGAAGAGCGAUGGAAGCUUGCUUCUAUCAAUCUUAGUGGCGAACGGGUGAGUAACGCGUAAUCAACCUGCCCUUCAGAGGGGGACAACAGUUGGAAACGACUGCUAAUACCGCAUACGAUCCAAUCUCGGCAUCGAGACUGGAUGAAAGGUGGCCUCUAUUUAUAAGCUAUCACUGAAGGAGGGG